GACGAACGCUGGCGGCGUGCUUAACACAUGCAAGUCGAACGGUGACCUCGAGAGCUUGCUCUCGGGCGAUCAGUGGCGAACGGGUGAGUAACACGUGAGUAACCUGCCCCAGACUCUGGAAUAACCCCGGGAAACCGGAGCUAAUACCGGAUACGAGACGGAGUCGCAUGGCUACCGUCUGGAAAGUUUUUCGGUCUGGGAUGGACUCGCGGCCUAUCAGCUAGUUGGUGAGGUAACGGCUCACCAAGGCGACGACGGGUAGCCGGCCUGAGAGGGCGACCGGCCACACUGGGACUGAGACACGGCCCAGACUCCUACGGGAGGCAGCAGUGGGGAAUAUUGCACAAUGGGCGAAAGCCUGAUGCAGCGACGCCGCGUGAGGGAUGACGGCCUUCGGGUUGUAAACCUCUUUUAGUAGGGAAGAAGCGAAAGUGACGGUACCUGCAGAAAAAGCACCGGCUAACUACGUGCCAGCAGCCGCCGUAAUAC
rnacentral:rRNA from 1 species